rnacentral:lncRNA from 1 species
UCUCUCGCACCUGCAAAUUCGGUCUCCAUGGCAAAGCUUCUGGUUUUUCUCACUCCUCCUUUCUCGCUCUCCACUCUCUUGCAAGCCUUACUCUCUCUAAAGCCCGGUCAGUCCAGUUACUACCCGAAAUGCCAGAAACGUAAGCCCAAACCCUAAAUCAGUGAAUCCCAGAAACCCUAGCCAUAACCAUAGAUCAGCCGCAACAUCAAUCUCGUAAAACAAGAAAACGAACCCAAGCUUCUUCCCAGCCAAAAACCAGAAACGAUCAAUCUUGAUUUACCUGAAACUCUACACUCCCACAUGGAUCCCCAUAAUUGCAGCUUUCAGGCAGAUUUUUAGGAGGUUUGCGGAGCAGUUUUCUCAGAUUUUUAGGAGCAUUUUCCUAGUAAUUUCUAGCCAUUUCGGGCAAUCUCAGCUCAAGCAGGGAUUUGAAGGAGACGUUCAAGUUUCCGGUGGGUACAGAAAUGAAAUUUUUCCGCGAGAAUGUGUGUAGAAGGAAAGAGGUACAGAGAGGUUAGGUGUAUCCUGUUGGGCUGACUCAACCCGAUUCCAGCAUAAGUGACCGAAUCAAGCCGAAUUAAUGGAUUUCUUUUACUUUUUGGGAAAAUUAUAAUACUCCCAUAAUCAUCUUUCUAGAUAACUUAUAAUAUGAACCCCCACCCCAAACAGAUCUAAAUAUAUUUUUUUUCUAUUUACAUCCAAAUAAAAAUAUUCAGUGAGUUUUAUUAUUUUCUCGUGUAUUUACAUCUAAAUAAAAAAAAAAUCAAUGAGUUUAAAACUAAAAUGCCCUUACACUCUCUCUUAUUUGGAACUCACGUGUUCAUAAGCAUCUCUUCUCUCUUUCUACGCCCGAACUCUCUGUCUCUCAAAAAAAAACCCAUUUCAUUCUCACAAACUCUCUCUCUAGUAAAACUCGUUGGAAAACUCAAAUCCCACCGACUACCUCACUGGUAAAAUAUCAUUCUCAUUUCGCUGCUACCUGUAAAACUUGCCAAAAAAACGUAGAUCCCGGUGACUCACGACUCCAAUAAUCAUUGUUAAUAUCAAAUUGCGGCCGUCCUAUCAACCCCAAAAUCGCCGGUAAGACUUCCAGCCAUUUUCGAACACCAAAUUCGCUAAAAGCCCCUAUUAUAAACUUGUCAUCUCGGCCAUUGUUUGCCGGAUCCGAUAAAUGUGUCUUGAUCGCCGCAGCUCCACAAUAUCUCCGGCCAUGCGAGAGAAGUUGCCUAAUCAUCUUCUGAUGGCAGAUCCAUGAUGCCUAUGUCAUCAAUCAAUGAGUUGGAUUUGGCGGGGGUGAAAAAGAAGCACCGAGAAGUUGGCAGCACUACUGAAUUUGGCGGAAUUUCAGUGAAAUUGGUGCCAUUGUUGGAGGAGGAGCUGCUCCUGCUAGAGGUGAAGUCGGCAAGAGAGAAAGUGUUUGGGUUUUUUUAUGGGGGGAAAUGAAAACUGCAUAGCAGGACAUAACAUAGGAGACCCGUAUGGGUUAGAGACAAGAGGGGACGUGUUUAAGAGAGCGAGGAGAGAAAGAGGGCGAUAGAAAGAGGAAAGAGAAUAAAAAACCGACAUAUAGAGAGGAAAAAAAAAAGUAUUUUGAUCUCAAUUUUAGUGACUUUUUGACUCGUAGUAAAUAUAACAAACGACAAUGUUGGGGUGAAUGGUGUAAUAUUGAAGUAUUGGAGAGUAAGAUAUCUAAAAAAUUAAUU